UACGUAGGAGACGAGCGUUGUCCGGAAUUACUGGGCGUAAAGCGCGUGUAGGCGGAUGAGCAAGUCUGCUGUGAAAGCUCCUGGCUUAACCGGGAGUAGUCGGUGGAAACUGCUCGUCUGGAGGACGGUAGAGGCUGGUGGAAUUCCCGGUGUAGUGGUGAAAUGCGUAGAGAUCGGGAGGAACACCUGUGGCGAAGGCGGCCAGCUGGGCCGGACCUGACGCUGAGGUGCGAAAGCGUGGGGAGCAAACAGG
rnacentral:rRNA from 1 species